rnacentral:rRNA from 1 species
AGAGUUUGAUCCUGGCUCAGGACGAACGCUGGCGGCGUGCCUAAUACAUGCAAGUCGAACGAAACUUUCUUACACCGAAUGCUUGCAUUCACCGUAAGAAGUUGAGUGGCGGACGGGUGAGUAACACGUGGGUAACCUGCCUAAAAGAAGGGGAUAACACUUGGAAACAGGUGCUAAUACCGUAUAUCUCUAAGGAUCGCAUGAUCCUUAGAUGAAAGAUGGUUCUGCUAUCGCUUUUAGAUGGACCCGCGGCGUAUUAACUAGUUGGUGGGGUAACGGCCUACCAAGGUGAUGAUACGUAGCCGAACUGAGAGGUUGAUCGGCCACAUUGGGACUGAGACACGGCCCAAACUCCUACGGGAGGCAGCAGUAGGGAAUCUUCCACAAUGGACGCAAGUCUGAUGGAGCAACGCCGCGUGAGUGAAGAAGGUCUUCGGAUCGUAAAACUCUGUUGUUAGAGAAGAACACGAGUGAGAGUAACUGUUCAUUCGAUGACGGUAUCUAACCAGCAAGUCACGGCUAACUACGUGCCAGCAGCCGCGGUAAUACGUAGGUGGCAAGCGUUGUCCGGAUUUAUUGGGCGUAAAGGGAACGCAGGCGGUCUUUUAAGUCUGAUGUGAAAGCCUUCGGCUUAACCGGAGUAGUGCAUUGGAAACUGGAAGACUUGAGUGCAGAAGAGGAGAGUGGAACUCCAUGUGUAGCGGUGAAAUGCGUAGAUAUAUGGAAGAACACCAGUGGCGAAAGCGGCUCUCUGGUCUGUAACUGACGCUGAGGUUCGAAAGCGUGGGUAGCAAACAGGAUUAGAUACCCUGGUAGUCCACGCCGUAAACGAUGAAUGCUAGGUGUUGGAGGGUUUCCGCCCUUCAGUGCCGCAGCUAACGCAAUAAGCAUUCCGCCUGGGGAGUACGACCGCAAGGUUGAAACUCAAAGGAAUUGACGGGGGCCCGCACAAGCGGUGGAGCAUGU